rnacentral:rRNA from 1 species
AACGAACGCUGGCGGAAGGAAGAAAAGAGGCAAAUCGAAAGACACCUUCGGGUCUAGUGGAGCACGGGUGCGUAACGCGUGGGAACCUGCCCUUAGGUUCGGAAUAACUCCCCGAAAGGGGUGCUAAUACCGGAUAAUGUCUUCGGACCAAAGAUUUAUCGCCUUUGGAUGGGCCCGCGUUGGAUUAGCUAGUUGGUAGGGUAAAAGCCUACCAAGGCGACGAUCCAUAGCUGGUCUGAGAGGAUGAUCAGCCACACUGGGACUGAGACACGGCCCAGACUCCUACGGGAGGCAGCAGUGGGGAAUAUUGGACAAUGGGCGAAAGCCUGAUCCAGCAAUGCCGCGUGCCUCAUCCCGGCUGUAGGGUUGUAAAGCUCUUUUACCCGGGAUGAUAAUGACAGUACCGGGAGAAUAAGCUCCUGCUCCCUCCGUC